AAUACGAGAUGCUAAGGCGUCGAAGUAGUGUAUGUCAUACUUCCAAUCAUAGCUUGCACUGUCAUAAAUAAGAAAUGCCUGUACCAUAACCGACACAGGUGGGUAAGUAGAGUAUACUAAGGGGCGCGAGAUAACUCUCUCUAAGGAACUCGGCAAAAUAACUCCGUAACUUCGGGAGAAGGAGUGCCUUAUUCUUAAGGUUGCAAUAACAAGAUCCAAGCAACUGUUUAUCAAAAACACAGGUCUCCGCUAAGUCGUAAGACGAUGUAUGGGGGCUGACGCCUGCCCAGUGCCAGAAGGUUAAAGAAGUUGGUUAGCAAUUGCGAAGCUGGUAACUGAAGCCCUGGUGAACGGCGGCCGUAACUAUAUCGGUCCUAAGGUAGCGAAAUUCCUUGUCGGGUAAGUUCCGACCCGCACGAAAGGCGUAAUGAUUUGGAUGCUGUCUCGGAGAGGGGCUCGGUGAAAUAGACUUGUCUGUGAAGAUGCGGACUACCUGCACCAGGACAGAAAGACCCUAUGAAGCUUUACUGUAACUUGAAAUUGAAAUUGGACUUUAUUUGCGCAGUAUAGGUGGGAGGCGUUGAUUAUAAUCUUGCGGGAUUAUUGGAGCCAUCAGUGGGAUACCACUCUUGUAAUGUUAGAUUUCUAACUUUGAAUCAUUAUCUGGUCAAAGGACAAUUUCAGGCGGGCAGUUUGACUGGGGCGGUCGCCUCCUAAAUGGUAACGGAGGCGUACAAAGGUUUCCUCUGAACGGUUAGAAAUCGUAUCUAGAGUGUAAAGGCAUAAGGAAGCUUGACUGUGAGACCUACAAGUCGAGCAGGGACGAAAGUCGGUCUUAGUGAUCUGACGGUACUGAGUGGAAAGGCCGUCACUCAAACGGAUAAAAGUUACUCUAGGAUAACAGGCUGAUCUCCCCCAAGAGUUCACAUCGACGGGGAGGUUUGGCACCUCGAUGUCGGCUCAUCGCAUCCUGGGGCGGUAGUACGUCCCAAGGGUUGGGCUGUUCGCCCAUGAAAGCGGUACGCGAGCUGGGUUCAGAACGUCGUGAGACAGUUCGGUCCAUAUCCGGUGUAGGCGUUAGAAUAUUGAGAGGAGCUUUCUUUAGUACGAGAGGACCGAGAAGGACAUACCUCUGGUGUACCAGUUAUCGUGCCAACGGUAAACGCUGGGUAGCUAUGUAUGGAGUGGAUAACCGCUGAAAGCAUCUAAGUGGGAAGCCCACCUCAAGAUAAGUAUUCUCAC
rnacentral:rRNA from 1 species